rnacentral:rRNA from 1 species
GAUGAACGCUGGCGGCGUGCCUAAUACAUGCAAGUCGAGCGAACAGACGAGGAGCUUGCUCCUCUGACGUUAGCGGCGGACGGGUGAGUAACACGUGGAUAACCUACCUAUAAGACUGGGAUAACUUCGGGAAACCGGAGCUAAUACCGGAUAACAUGUUGAACCGCAUGGUUCAACAGUGAAAGACGGUUUUGCUGUCACUUAUAGAUGGAUCCGCGUCGCAUUAGCUAGUUGGUAAGGUAACGGCUUACCAAGGCAACGAUGCGUAGCCGACCUGAGAGGGUGAUCGGCCACACUGGAACUGAGACACGGUCCAGACUCCUACGGGAGGCAGCAGUAGGGAAUCUUCCGCAAUGGGCGAAAGCCUGACGGAGCAACGCCGCGUGAGUGAAGAAGGUCUUCGGAUCGUAAAACUCUGUUAUUAGGGAAGAACAAAUGUGUAAGUAACUAUGCACGUCUUGACGGUACCCAAUCAGAAAGCCACGGCUAACUACGUG